UGACCGACAGGAAAGAAUAAAUGAAGUGUUGAUUUUGGCCAACUUAUUUUGGAACACUUUUGAAGUGUCCUAAUGAAAGUUAACAAGAUGUCACUUAAAAAUACCUGAAAUAAAAUAUAAAAAUGAAAAAAACAUUAUGUUAUGACCUAAAAAUAAAUGAUGCUAUAGCGCUCAUGAUUUUUCAUGGUGUUCCUCAUCAAUUAAAAUGCUUUAGAACCAAACACAUACAUAAGGAAGUACAUCACCAUACAUUCUGACACAAGCAUACCAUUUAACAAGUAACUAUUUACCAUACACAUACAAACCAGUUUACAGUCAGAAUGUCAUCCCUUACUGCAAAUUUGAUUAUGAAAAUACAUUCAAACCAAUAUGGAAAUCGCAUUGUGGCUUGUUCAGUUCUCACAACAGAAACGGUGAAGGAUAGGUGAAUAUUAUCUGAACGAUUGGAUGUCAUUUACUGUGAAGCUUUCUGCGAUAAUUUAUGAUUAUUCAUUUUAUUUUUGUUCUUUAUAUCAUUAUGAUUGACAUUCAAGUCAUUCAAGUAUGAGGAUGAAGGCAUAAGGGAUUAUGGGGAAAUAUUCAAAGACUGCAAAACACGGCAGCAUAAGGAGAACUGCUGAACAAGGACUGCGAGAGGAAUAAAAAAAAAUUGAGUAAUCUGAUUACUCUCCAUCAUUCUUCAAAACUGUCAACAUUUCCAGGACUGGAACUGGACUGUGACUCACCAAAUAAACACAGAAUUUUAGUGCCAACAGGGCAGCAGUACUAUGACCGCAGUUCUGCCACAGGGCCCUGAACAGGAUGAAGAUACCACAGACCUGUGGACCAUCCUCUUCAGACGACAACAGCUCCAAAACCGGCUUCAGUUUCUACAGGAGAUCCAAAAGAAGAACAACAGAAUAGAAGGAUACCUUGCAAACGAAGAGGGCCCUUCAGAACUGGACAGAAUAGAGGAGGAGUUGAAGUUACUGGAGCAAAAAGAGAAGGAUCUUAUUCAGAAAAAUAGCCAAUGUUUGACAAUACAGGCCACAGACAAAGGCAUGUGUCUCGAUUAUUAAAAAAAAGGGGAAAACAUCAUACAUUUUACUCCUUAAUUUUUUAUUUAGACCUCCAAAGCACAACGUACAUGUUUUAUAUUUACUGCUCAUUAUGUAAAUCUGUCCUCAAAACACAUUUCAUGAUUUGUAUAUAUAAUAUAAAAAUUCAGAACAUAGGACAUUUCAAUUAAACAAUACUCUUUAAGAAAAAAAAAAAAGGUGUACUGUUGCUUUUAUGGAACAUUUUCAGUCAUUAGUAUGCAAAUGUAGCAUUAUUUAUCUUGUAUUAUACACUCUCCGUGACAGAUUCAUUUCAAGCUCCAGUCCAAGGACUCUACAUUCUUCCUGUUAAUCCCACAGAAAUGAUUUCCCCUAUCUUUGCUCUGCAAGAGGAAAACACAGGUAAAAUAAUAGUUAUAUUGUAAAUGUAACAUGAAUUAUUUUGUAUGAUAUAUUCACCAUGUCAGAUGGAAAACCUCCAAUCCAAAGAUUACAUUCUCCCCAUUUCUCCUUCAGGAACUCUUUCCUCUAUCAGUGGUAACACAGGUAAGAUAAUACAUUUAGAUAAUACAUUUAGAUAAUACAUUAGAUAAUACAUUCUUCACAACUGACACGCUGCAGGGCAAAAACCUCUUGACAAAUGUUUUGGAUUAAGAUUGUCAUAGAAAUGGUUUGCAUAUGAUGAAUAAACAAACAAAAUUCAUGCGUUUUGCAUUCCCAGAAGCUGUAGUAAACCUGGACGAUGUCACUAUGUCCCCUGCCAAAGUAAAAUGCCCUUCUUGCCAUAAGACUGUGACCACUGAGAUUCACUAUAAAAUGGGCAGCAAUGCCUUCCUCUUUUGCUGUCUCUUGUCUGUGGUGGGGUGUCUGGCUGGAUGUUGCCUGAUCCCCUUCUGUAUGGAUCGCUUCAAAGAUGUCACCCACAUUUGUCCGUCCUGCCACAAAAACAUCUGUGAAGUAAAUAGGAUUUGAAGCAUAGAAUAAAACAGUACCUGAUCUGUGAGACCAUGACUGUAAAUACAUCAGAAGAGCCUGAAGCUGGACCCAAGACACUGUCAGUGCUGUUUGAGCCUGUUUUUCAGAGAAAGGGAUUUUUAUCUCUAUCCUAUUGACAGAAUUGUUUGGGAAGUCAAUAUGUAGGCUUUGAGAGACUAUAUAUACAAAUGAAUUCAACUGUAGUCAAGCAAUUAAUAACUGUGCUAGUGGCCACCAGUCAUUUGUAUUAACCUCUUCCAAUAGACAUGCUUUUAGGGUGAUAUAAUCAGUCAUGAGUAGUGGUGGAAGAAGUGCACAAAUCAUGUACUAUUGCUUCAUUUUGAGUCAGAUAUGACCAAAUCAGUGGUUUAUUAACCACUCGAGACUCACUCCUAUAAUCAGACUUGUUUGCCAUACAGUUGGAUGAGUUAAAUUCACAAAAGACUUCAACCAGUUGAAAAGAAUAAAUUAUUUCACCAAUUGAAUUUUAAUUUCCUGAAAUGUAGUGCAGUAAAAGUUUCUCCAAAUCUGGAUAACAAUCCAAGCCCUCAAGACAAAAGAUGUUUAUCAAUGUAAUGUCUUUUCUUACUGAUAUUCAAACUGAAAUGGCCAGGUUUGAGUGACAUUCAUGUUUCUCUUAAUAUACUACUAGUAUGCACUCAUGUAAUAGUCAGGUAAAUGAGCCUGAAGAACAGUUAUAGUAAAUAUAUUGUAUUAAAUGUCA